CUUCGAGGUGUAGCUAAAUGAGGCGUCCGAAUAUCGCCAAUAUACCGUGGCAUGUGAGGAGGACUAAAAGAACGUACGCUAGUCACAGACUCUGCAACAGAAUCUGAUAAACAAUAAUAAUAUUAAAAACUACUUCAGAAUCUUCCAUAUUUUCAUGUGCGACUAGUUCUCUUUCACUGGACAUGAGCACAGUUGUAUUACUUGUUGCAUCAGAUCCCUUUGCAGGUGUUUCAUUGCUAUUUAAACAUCUGAAACAUACAUUAUGCAUAUAACCUCAAACAUUGCAUCUUAAUCUCGAUAUUUAUUAAAAGUAUGUACUUUGAUAUUUAUAGGUAAACUAAUGAAACUGUUGAAAAUGAUAUAAGGCAUACCUUUUCCUUUUUUUAACGGUGAAAACUGUCGGUAUGACUCCCCUUUUUAAUAACUUAUUUUUUGAUGUUGUAGGAAGGAAAUCAUCGAAUUUUAUUAUCCCAUAAAAUUUGAAUCGCAAUGUAAAUAUUUGGAUAGAUCAGAUUUAGUUUUUAUUCAGUUAAGUAUUUUAGUACAUCUAAAACAUAACUUUGAUUGUUUUCUGGAACUACCUAAAUACAAUAUAGUAUCGUAUGAUGCAGGAAAGUUGUUCCUCAUGAGAAGUGUCUGAAGUAAUCCAAAAGAACAAAAAAAUACUUGACAGCUUUUAUUCGAUCGAUCACAGUAUUUCUGAUUAUUAUUAAUAAUAUUUUAUAUAAUAUUACAAACUUAAACUAUUUUUAAUAAUAUUUUUAAUUAUAUUAAUAAUAAUUUAAUAUUAACUUUAGCCAGCUUUGAUUGCAGCUUGGAUUCCGAUUGUGAGGAGCACCCCGAGACCGAUCAUGAAUAAAGGCUGCAAAUAUUUGAAAAUGAGCGGAAUAUUUCUGAUUUGAUUACUCAUCAGCACUAAGUCAUAGAAUAAAUAAUUAAGGUUUAGGCAUAAGGUCAGGUAUAAGAAUAGGUAUAUGGUUAGUAAACUCGGUUAAGGAAUGGAUGGACGAGUGUGUUUAGCUAUGAUGUAAACCAAGUCCACUUCUCGGCUUAAUUGUAUAUUGAAGUAAUAAACUUAUUAUUCACUAACCGUC